rnacentral:sRNA from 1 species
UUGUCCCACUACAUAUGCCUCCUGAU